AAAAAAACUACCUAUUUCACUAUCUUGUUCCAUGAAUCGGACUCACAUGGAGGUCAUUCAAAAGCGUGGAAUUAACUUUAAGAAAAGCAUUAAAGUUUAAUUUUUUAAUGAAUAUAUAUAACAUAACCUGUUGGUACUGAAAUCAAUACGAAACUUAAUCGUAUAGCAUAAGAACGACUACUGGGUAAUUAUCUAAUUUGCAUCCUUGUAUAACAUAAAUAUAAUGUGACACUAUGGAAAACUCUGGAACCAAAUUAGGGAAAGACAUAAAUAUAAUGUGACACCAUGGAAAACUCUGAAACCAAAUUAGAGAAAGAGUAAUAAAGAGCCAUUAUUUAUGCAAAAGGGCAUUUUAAGAAAAUUUCAAACUUUUAACAAACAAAUAAAAACUUUAAAACUAGGGCUGAGGUCACAAAGGAUUAUUGUUUUUAUGAUGAGAAAUUAAAGAAAGAAUCUUAAGGUCAAAUUAUUAAUGAAACCUGUUCAACAUGACAGACAUUGUCUGCAAGAAUCUUUCUCCCUCUCUCAUUGAUACAGAUCAAAGUUUAAC
rnacentral:lncRNA from 1 species